GUUAUUACAGGGACAUGGUACUGAUAAUCAGCCAAAAGAAGAGCACACGCGGAGACUGGGAGGGUUCCACGUGGAAGCUUCCAUUGUCCUUAGAAUGUGUUUCCCUUCUAAGUAAUGAUGUGUGACAACACACAUGAUAUAUUGCCAACAGGAGAAGCUCAUGUGAGCUUCAACGUCUAGUUUUUAUUGGGGCUUUAUUAUAUAUGCAUGAUUGAUUGAUUGAUUUACCAGAUUGUCCAAAAGGUCCACCAUGAAUAAUAGAUACUCCUGACACUUGGGAAUUUCCAAGGUUUCAGAGGUUACCUCCCAGGAGCCGGGUAUAAAGGUCAGACCUCUCUUUAGUUCCUUAAACAGAAUUCCUGAGAGCACAUGAUGUUCCAGUCGUUGUGCAGGGAUAAGAAUAUAGCAGUGAAGGAAUAUAAAGAUUGUGAGACAUGCAUUAGACUGAAAAUCAGCAAACAUGAGGACUGGUCCUAACACUGACUCAUCCAGGUUGGAUAUCAUGUCUUUGGAGAAGUCUUCUCUGCACCCCUCUCCCAAUAAAGCUAAACAUUCUUCCACCAUGUGCUGUCCUCUAAUUUGUUCUCAUAUUUUCCUCUGGUGUAGUUGUGUGUUCACAUACCUAUCUGUUGUAUCAGACAGUGAGUUUCCUGAUGGGAGGCACUUAGUCUUUUUCCUCUUGGUUAUUUUAA